rnacentral:rRNA from 1 species
CCCAGACUCCUACGGGAGGCAGCAGUGGGGAAUAUUGCACAAUGGGGGGAACCCUGAUGCAGCGACGCCGCGUGGGUGAAGGAGCGUUUCGGCGCGUAAAGCCCUAUCGGCAGGGAAGAAGGAGGACGGUACCUGACUAAGAAGCCCCGGCUAACUACGUGCCAGCAGCCGCGGUAAUACGUAGGGGGCAAGCGUUAUCCGGAUUUACUGGGUGUAAAGGGGGCGCAGACGGCAGCGCAAGCCAGGAGUGAAAGCCCGGGGCCCAACCCCGGGACUGCUCUUGGAACUGCGCGGCUGGAGUGCAGGAGGGGCAGGCGGAAUUCCUGGUGUAGCGGUGAAAUGCGUAGAUAUCAGGAGGAACACCGGUGGCGAAGGCGGCCUGCUGGACUGCAACUGACGUUGAGGCCCGAAAGCGUGGGGAGCAAACAGGAUUAGAUACCCCCGUAAC